ensembl:lncRNA
UGAGCAUUACAGGCUGCACAGGGGGAGCAGGAAACAAAGCUUGUUUUUAGGGUUCUGCUGCUGUAGUGGGAUGGAGACCAGAAGUGCACUUGCCCCAGACCGGUUCGUACUUGUCUUACGGCAACUCAGACUUCUUCUCCUAAGCACGCCAGAGCAGGGUGAGAGCUUGGCCCAGCAAUGAAGUUGGAAGCAAUGUAACCCGGUUCCGCCUUUAAAUGCUGCAGAAGGCAAUAUGGACAUCUGAGCUGCAGAUAAACUUGCAAGACACUGCAUGUACCAAAUGGGUCAUGGAGACACGCACAACGUGGGGAAAAUGCAGCAUCCAUCUCACAGUCUGUGGUUGCCACGGCAAAGACAGGUAUAAAUAGACACGAUCUGAUAGACUUUUUAAAAAACCCUGUAUCUGGAAACAUGCGUUGCUGGUAACCCUCUGACAGCCACGCCUUAUCCCAAAGGGCUGCAGUGACUGUUUGCCCAGAGACUUCUGCUCCUAUGUGUUUAAUCCUUUCCUGUCUAAAUAAACAUCAGCUACAUCUGCUCGUCCUUCCGCUGGCACAUGAAAAC